ACACCAGACUCCUACGGGAGGCAGCAGUGAGGAAUAUUGGUCAAUGGGCGAGAGCCUGAACCAGCCAAGUCGCGUGAGGGAAGACGGUCCUAUGGAUUGUAAACCUCUUUUGUCGGGGAGCAAAAAGGCCUCGUGAGGCCACAAGUGAGAGUACCCGAAGAAAAAGCAUCGGCUAACUCCGUGCCAGCAGCCGCGGUAAUACGGAGGAUGCGAGCGUUAUCCGGAUUUAUUGGGUUUAAAGGGUGCGUAGGCGGGCUUUUAAGUCAGCGGUAAAAAUUCGGGGCUCAACCCCGUCCGGCCGUUGAAACUGGGGGCCUUGAGUGGGCGAGAAGAAGGCGGAAUGCGUGGUGUAGCGGUGAAAUGCAUAGAUAUCACGCAGAACUCCGAUUGCGAAGGCAGCAUACCGGCGCCCAACUGACGCUGAAGCACGAAAGCGUGGGUAUCGAACAGGAUUAGAUACCCCCGUAGG
rnacentral:rRNA from 1 species